rnacentral:rRNA from 1 species
UGCAAGUCGUACGAGAACACCCUAGCUUGCUAGGGUAAGUAAAGUGGCGCACGGGUGAGUAACGCGUGGGUAAUCUACCUUCGAAUUGGGGAUAACGUUGCGAAAGCGACGCUAAUACCGAAUAACAUCCAUUUAUCUUCGGAUUUUUGGAUCAAGGGUGGCCUCUACAUGUAAGCUACUGUUUGAAGAUGAGCCCGCGUACCAUUAGCUUGUUGGUGGGGUAAUGGCCUACCAAGGCAGCAAUGGUUAGCUGGUCUGAGAGGAUGAUCAGCCACACUGGAACUGACACACGGUCCAGACUCCUACGGGAGGCAGCAGUGAGGAAUUUUGCGCAAUGGGGGAAACCCUGACGCAGCAACGCCGCGUGAGUGAUGAAGGCUUUCGGGUCGUAAAGCUCUGUCAAGUGGGAAGAACCUGCAGUAUGCUAAUACCAUAUUGCACUGACGGUACCACUGAAGGAAGCACCGGCUAACUCCGUGCCAGCAGCCGCGGUAAUACGGGGGGUGCAAGCGUUAUUCGGAAUCAUUGGGCGUAAAGGGCACGUAGGCGGCCUGGUAAGUCAGAUGUGAAAGCCCUGGGCUUAACCCGGGAAGUGCAUUUGAUACUGUCAGGCUUGAGUAUGG